rnacentral:rRNA from 1 species
GACGAACGCUGGCGGCGUGCUUAACACAUGCAAGUCGAGCGGAAAGGCCACUUCGGUGGUACUCGAGCGGCGAACGGGUGAGUAACACGUGAGUAAUCUGCCCCUCACUUUGGGAUAGCCACCGGAAACGGUGAUUAAUACCGGAUAUGACCAUAUGUCGCAUGGCGUGUGGUGGAAAGUUUUUCGGUGAGGGAUGUGCUCGCGGCCUAUCAGCUUGAUGGUGAGGUAAUGGCUCACCAUGGCUUCGACGGGUAGCCGGCCUGAGAGGGUGACCGGUCACACUGGGACUGAGACACGGCCCAGACUCCUACGGGAGGCUG